AGACGGGGGGGGCGAGCGUUGUCCGGAAUUACUGGGCGUAAAGGGCGCGUAGGCGGCUUGGUAAGUCGCGUGUGAAAGCCCUGGGCUCAACCUAGGAACUGCAUUUGAUACUGGCAGACUCGAGUGUGGUAGAGGGUAGUGGAAUUCUCGGUGUAGCGGUGAAAUGCGUAGAUAUCGGGAGGAACACCAGUGGCGAAGGCGGCUCUCUGGACUGACACUGACGCUGAGGUGCGAAAGCGCGGGUAGCAAACAGGAUUAGAUACCCCAGUAGUCC
rnacentral:rRNA from 1 species